rnacentral:rRNA from 1 species
UGGGGAAUUUUGGACAAUGGGCGAAAGCCUGAUCCAGCAAUGCCGCGUGUGUGAAGAAGGCCUUCGGGUUGUAAAGCACUUUUGUCCGGAAAGAAAUCCUUGGCUCUAAUACAGUCGGGGGAUGACGGUACCGGAAGAAUAAGCACCGGCUAACUACGUGCCAGCAGCCGCGGUAAUACGUAGGGUGCAAGCGUUAAUCGGAAUUACUGGGCGUAAAGCGUGCGCAGGCGGUUUGCUAAGACCGAUGUGAAAUCCCCGGGCUCAACCUGGGAACUGCAUUGGUGACUGGCAGGCUAGAGUAUGGCAGAGGGGGGUAGAAUUCCACGUGUAGCAGUGAAAUGCGUAGAGAUGUGGAGGAAUACCGAUGGCGAAGGCAGCCCCCUGGGCCAAUACUGACGCUCAUGCACGAAAGCGUGGGGGAGCAAAACAGGAUUAGAUACCCUGGUAGUCCACGCCCUAAAACGAUGUCAACUAGUUGUUGGGGAUUCAUUUCCUUAGUAACGUAGCUAACGCGUGAAGUUGACCGCCUGGGGGAGUAGGUCGCAAGAUUAAAACUCAAAUGAAUUG